rnacentral:rRNA from 1 species
GGCUCCAGUUAAGCUGUCUAAAAUCACCAGAUGCUGUCUGAUCUCGGAAGCUAAGCAGGCUAGCUCUGAUUAUUACUUGAAUGGGAGACCAAUAAGAAAUCUCAAGUGUGGUAGGCU